CCUACGGGAGGCAGCAGUGAGGAAUAUUGGUCAAUGGACGAGAGUCUGAACCAGCCAAGUAGCGUGAAGGAUGACUGCCCUAUGGGUUGUAAACUUCUUUUAUAUGGGAAUAAAAUGUUCCACGUGUGCGUUUUUGUAUGUACCUUAUGAAUAAGGAUCGGCUAACUCCGUGCCAGCAGCCGCGGUAAUACGGAGGAUCCGAGCGUUAUCCGGAUUUAUUGGGUUUAAAGGGAGCGUAGGUGGAUUGUUAAGUCAGUUGUGAAAGUUUGCGGCUCAACCGUAAAAUUGCAGUUGAAACUGGCAGUCUUGAGUACAGUAGAGGUGAGCGGAAUUCGUGGUGUAGCGGUGAAAUGCUUAGAUAUCACGAAGAACUCCGAUUGCGAAGGCAGCUCACUGGACUGCAACUGACACUGAGGCUCGAAAGUGUGGGUAUCAAACAGGAUUAGAUACCCUUGUAGUC
rnacentral:rRNA from 1 species